CCUAGAAAGCUCAGUUGGUUUGAGCAUGAUGCUGAUAACUCCAAGGUUGUAGGUUCAAUCCCUGUAUGGGA